GGGAGGAUGGCGGCGGGGGGGGAGGGAGCGCCGGCGCGGCGCUGAGCUAAGCCGAUCCCACGUGUGACGGAUCUGGCUGCUGCCCCAGCGCCUCUCCAGUGAGAUCCUCCGGUAGCGGAGGGAGGAGGAGGAGGAGGAGGAGGAGGAGGAGGGGGGAAGGGAAAAAAAGGGGCACAGCAAGCGGAGCGAACCGAGCCGGAGCCGGGCCGGGGGGGGCGGGUUGGGCGGGCGGGGGGGGUUCUCUCAGGGGCUCUCGCUCGGCGCGGCCAUGGAGGCGGACGGGAGCCAGGCUACCUCGGGGAGCCCCGGAGAGGCGCAGCACGACCCCGGCAAGAUGUUCAUCGGCGGCCUCAGCUGGCAAACCUCACCAGACAGCCUUAGAGACUAUUUUAGCAAAUUCGGAGAAAUUAGGGAGUGUAUGGUCAUGCGGGACCCCACCACCAAGCGCUCCAGGUAAAACCGCCGCC